rnacentral:rRNA from 1 species
UACAGAGGGGGCAAGCGUUAUUCGGAAUUAUUGGGCGUAAAGGGCGCGUAGGCGGCUGCGCAAGUCUCGGGUGAAAUCCCUCGGCUCAACCGAGGAACUGCCCUGGAAACUGCGCGGCUCGAGGCCGGCAGAGGGGGGUGGAAUUCCGCGUGUAGCAGUGAAAUGCGUAGAGAUGCGGAGGAACACCGAUGGCGAAGGCAGCCCCCUGGGCUGACACUGACGCUCAGGCACGAAAGCGUGGGGAGCAAACAGG